rnacentral:lncRNA from 1 species
AACAGGAUGAAGCUUUUUUACUUUCCUUUUGUUUCUUUGCUUAGAAGAACAAAGGAUUGGGAAGAACAGAAACAGUAAAGGACAGAAUACCUAAAGAGAUCCGGCAGUGAUCACUUGGUUUGGGAAGCACUGGUACAAUGGAAAAGAACUCUGGAAACAGACUGUCCUGACUUCAAGUUCAAGACUGAUCAUUCACUGUCUGGGUAACUUUGUGCAAGUUGCAACCUUAGUGUGUUAUUUUGUAAAAUACAAAUAAAACUACUUUAGCUGCCAUGCAGCUUGAGUGAGACAAUGCAGGCUAACGGCUUAGUAUAAUGCCUGUCAUAUCAUAAAUACUCAAUAAAUAGGAUACACUUUUACAAUACUCAAUAAAUAACAACAGGUACAACUUAAAACACAAGCAGAAAGCCUCAAUUUGGAAGUUAGAAGACAGAAAUGCAAAAGCUUCAGGAAGCAAAAAGGAGGUCCCGAAACCCAAUAACUAAUAUGCAGCUUUCCUUAGUACUAAUUACUCUAUAGCUGUUUUGUGAGUACACAGCUAAUGACCCUCUGAGCAUGGAAUGUGCCCAGGGAGAUGAAAGCAGACACACAGUUUGAAGUAAACCUACAAAUAUUUAUAGCUGCUAGUUCUCACAGCUGCCCCAGCAAUUAGGACCAAAAAUUCUUCAAUAAGGAGGGGGAGUAAAACACACAAAUGACUCUGAUCCCAAGUGAGCUCAUUGUGCCUUCACAGUGAUUUCUCUACACAUUUUUGAAGCCAGUGUGAAUGAUGUAGCCUAGUGAGCUAGACCAGG